rnacentral:lncRNA from 13 species
CCCAAAUGGCACCCUAUUCCCUAUAUAGAAUAGGGUGCCAUUUGGGAUGUAACCAGGGCCUGAUGCAGACAUGCUGCAGUAGAUUGGGCUUGCACAGGGGGCAUUGAUUUACCCCCCCCCCCCCCUUAAAACACCACACUAUCCAAUUCCCACAAAUGAAAAAUAAUUAUCCUAAAUGCACCCAUGAGGCCACUUAGGAUGCAGCCAGUGAGACAACUGGAGAUUCUUCUUCUGUACUGAAUAAUUUAUAUCUUAUUCAUGUUNNNNNNNNNNUGCGUGUGUGUCUGUGUCUGUGCGUCUGUGCGUGUCUGUGCGUGCGUGCGUGCAUGCGGCGUGGGCUUGUGCGUGUGUGUGUGAUAAGUUGCUUUUUCUCAGACUUCCACUUCCUCUGUAUUUAAUUAUCCCUGGCAGAUGCAAGUGUAUCCUAUUCCCGUUCUUUGGCACUUAAAUGCUUAAUGAUUUACAUUUGUAAUCAUUUAUCCGGUCAUUUGGCUCCAGAUGGGUCAAAAAGGAGGGACGGAGGAUGGGGGGACGGAUGGACAAAGGGACGGAGGAAAGGGUAUGGCUGGAUGGACAGAGGGGCGGAUGGAGGGAGGAGGAGAGACGGGCGGAUGGAAGGACGGAAGAUGGCGGGACAAUGGAACGAGGGAGGACGGAAAAAACAGAUGAACAGAAUUAACGAAGGGUGAACGGGAAGGUAACGGCGUAGGGAAGAGCAGAAAAUAAGUCUGAUGGCGUGGAGGAUCAUCUAAGAGUUUCUCCCCUCUGCUCUGCUGGGAGACUGUCGCUGCCAAGGAGAAAUUACACAUCAGAGGAGAUCAUUACCAGGAAGAGGCCUGGGGAACGGAGAGAAUGAACAGAGAGAGGGAGGAAUGGAACAACGGCAUUUCUAUGCAUUCCAAAUGGCACCGUAUUCCCUCCAUAGUGCCCAUGGCCCUGGUCAAAUGUAGUGCACUAUAUAAGGAAUAGGGUGCCAUUUGGAACGUAGCCCGUGGCUCCCAAGCCCAUGCAGUAUAAAUGGAAAUCCAAUACAGUGUUUGGCUGGCACAAUGAUUUGAUCAUUAGUGAAGAGCAGGCUGUGACACCAAAUAAUAUCUUGAGAAAAUAUGAGCCAUAUUUCAGGUAAAAGUAACCAAUCCAAUUCUGGUGAGAAAUGCUUGAAAAUGCAAAGUCAUAAAAGGCGAGGUAUCUGAGAAAGAGAGGAUUAAUCAAUAAGUCAAUCUGUGAAUACAAUACAUGUGUGAAAUUAAUGAGUGAUUGAAUGAUGGUGUUUCUCAGUUCUCACAGAUCUGAGUAGAAAGGACUGGUGAUGUUUCCCAAAUGGCACCCUAUUCCCUAUAUAGAAUAGGGUGCCAUUUGGGAUGUAACCAGGGCCUGAUGCAGACAUGCUGCAGUAGAUUGGGCUUGCACAGGGGGCAUUGAUUUACCCCCCCCCCCCCCUUAAAACACCACACUAUCCAAUUCCCACAAAUGAAAAAUAAUUAUCCUAAAUGCACCCAUGAGGCCACUUAGGAUGCAGCCAGUGAGACAACUGGAGAUUCUUCUUCUGUACUGAAUAAUUUAUAUCUUAUUCAUGUUAGAAAACAUUGUUCACUUAGAUAUUCAUUUAAUAACCAUACACAAAGAAAGGGAGGCGGUAUAAGCACACUGACAGAUGCAAAAG